rnacentral:rRNA from 1 species
GAUGAACGCUGGCGGCGUGCCUAAUACAUGCAAGUCGAGCGAACAGACGAGGAGCUUGCUCCUCUGACGUUAGCGGCGGACGGGUGAGUAACACGUGGAUAACCUACCUAUAAGACUGGGAUAACUUCGGGAAACCGGAGAUAAUACCGGAUAAUAUAUUGAACCGCAUGGUUCAAUAGUGAAAGACGGUUUUGCUGUCACUUAUAGAUGGAUCCGCGCCGCAUUAGCUAGUUGGUAAGGUAACGGCUUACCAAGGCAACGAUGCGUAGCCGACCUGAGAGGGUGAGCGGCCACACUGGAACUGAGACACGGUCCAGACUCCUACGGGAGGCAGCAGUAGGGAAUCUUCCGCAAUGGGCGAAAGCCUGACGGAGCAACGCCGCGUGAGUGAUGAAGGUCUUCGGAUCGUAAAACUCUGUUAUUAGGGAAGAACAAAUGUGUAAGUAACUAUGCACGUCUUGACGGUACCUAAUCAGAAAGCCACGGCUAACUACGUG